ACGAACGCUGGCGGCGUGCCUAAUACAUGCAAGUCGAACGGGCUACUGAAUUUCGGUUUAGUAGUUUAGUGGCGAACGGGUGAGUAACGCGUGAGGAACCUGACCCACAGAGGGGGAUAACACCUGGAAACGGGUGCUAAUACCGCAUAAGACCACGGUGCCGCAUGGCACAGGGGUCAAAGGAGCAAUCCGCUGAGGGAGGGACUCGCGUCCCAUUAGAUAGUUGGUGAGGUAACGGCUCACCAAGUCAGCGAUGGGUAGCCGAGCUGAGAGGCUGAUCGGCCACACUGGAACUGAGACACGGUCCAGACUCCUACGGGAGGCAGCAGUAGGGAAUAUUGGGCAAUGGGGGAAACCCUGACCCAGCAACGCCGCGUGAGGGAAGAAGGUUUUCGGAUUGUAAACCUCUGUCCUAUGUGACGAAGAAAGUGACGGUAGCAUAGGAGGAAGCCCCGGCUAACUACGU
rnacentral:rRNA from 1 species